CGGGAAUUCUGUCCUGAGGUCUUUUGGGACCGCUGCAGCAGGGAACCACCGUGCUGAGAUCCAGUUCUACAACCUAAGGAAGACAGACACAUCCCAUGACAAACGAGUCAAGUAAAGAACAACAAACAGAAUCGCCUGUAAGACCUUUGUGCUGCCAUCAAACACCAGCAGCUCACCGGUUUGUUCCAGAUACUGAAGGCUGACAUCGUCCACAGGGAAGAAGGCUGCCGUGGCGCCGUACUCUGGACACAUGUUGGCGAUGGUGGCUCUGUCAGCGAUCGACAGCUGAGCCACACCUGGGCCGAAGAACUCCACGAA